rnacentral:tRNA from 1 species
GCUCCUGUAGCCCAAUUGGAAGUAGGCGGCUGUCUUAAAAACAGUCUAUGUGUGGGUUCAAGUCCCUCCAGGAGCAUCA